AUAAUGCAAGUCGAACGAGUUCUGAUUAUUGAAAGGUGCUUGCAUCUUGAUUUAAUUUUGAACGAGUGGCGGACGGGUGAGUAACACGUGGGUAACCUGCCCUUAAGUGGGGGAUAACAUUUGGAAACAGAUGCUAAUACCGCAUAAAUCCAAGAACCGCAUGGUUCUUGGCUGAAAGAUGGCGUAAGCUAUCGCUUUUGGAUGGACCCGCGGCGUAUUAGCUAGUUGGUGAGGUAACGGCUCACCAAGGCAAUGAUACGUAGCCGAACUGAGAGGUUGAUCGGCCACAUUGGGACUGAGACACGGCCCAAACUCCUACGGGAGGCAGCAGUAGGGAAUCUUCCACAAUGGACGCAAGUCUGAUGGAGCAACGCCGCGUGAGUGAAGAAGGCUUUCGGGUCGUAAAACUCUGUUGUUGGAGAAGAAUGGUCGGCAGAGUAACUGUUGUCGGCGUGACGGUAUCCAACCAGAAAGCCACGGCUAACUACGUGCCAGCAGCCGCGGUAAUACGUAGGUGGCAAGCGUUAUCCGGAUUUAUUGGGCGUAAAGCGAGCGCAGGCGGUUUUUUAAGUCUGAUGUGAAAGCCCUCGGCUUAACCGAGGAAGUGCAUCGGAAACUGGGAAACUUGAGUGCAGAAGAGGACAGUGGAACUCCAUGUGUAGCGGUGAAAUGCGUAGAUAUAUGGAAGAACACCAGUGGCGAAGGCGGCUGUCUGGUCUGUAACUGACGCUGAGGCUCGAAAGCAUGGGUAGCGAACAGGAUUAGAUACCCUGGUAGUCCAUGCCGUAAACGAUGAAUGCUAGGUGU
rnacentral:rRNA from 2 species